ensembl:snoRNA
AGCACUUGUAUGCGGUUUUGUUCAGCUAGGUUGGACAGGUGCAAAAAUAAAUCCUCUUUUGUGAGGAACCCAGAACCCAGAACUCAUUGUUCAGGAUGAGUUUUGAUACCUACAAGAAGGAAUAAA